GCCACAUGACCAGACAGGUAACAGACAGGUAACAGGGAAGAACAAAGACUAACAAGAAGGAUGGGAUGACCAGCAAUGCCUGCUGGUCAAACAGGGAAGGGACAUGGUAGGACCACAGCAGGGACUGACCCUGACAGACCUGGGACUGAACACAGGACCUUCUUGCUGUGAGGCAGCAGUGCUAACCACUGUGCCAUCCUGCCACCACUUCUAAAAGUCUUCAUAAACUAUAUAUCCCCUAUAGUCUGAUAAGCCUGUUUUAACAUCAUACUGAUUUUAACAUCAUAGCUGUAUUGAGUAACUCAUACAACUGAAAUCAAAACUGAUUUACAUCUUGCUAAUUUUACAGCUGCCAGUAUUGAUGAGGGGGUUUUAAAAACCCUCAUCAAUGUGUUACCAGAUGUGUCCCAUGUAUUUAUGUAUUUUCUUUGCCUACACAUCUCCAAUAUUGUGAGAAUUCUACUGACCAGUUGUAGUGGAAGUGGGAUUGUGCCAUCAACCAGUGCCAUGCCGCCCUCCCAGCCUCAGAGCUCCAUUCCCAUAAAUGAAACGAUGGCCAAAACAGUGAAAUUGCCAGAUCCACCAGAAUAUGUGGUGUACACAGAUUCAGAAUUAUACAUGGUGCACAUCCAGUAUUUUGCAUUGCUCCGCAGUGGAAAGGAAAAGGACUGUAAGAUGUGAAAGGAGCUUAUUUGCAGACUUAUAAGAAACACAAUCACCAGCAUGGUUGCAAUCCUUCAUGCUAGUCCCCUGGGAAAGGAAGUGCCAUAUCCCUCCAAGCACGAACUGAGAGUAAUGUCACAGAAGAUAAUUUACUAUUAUCCUAUGCUACGGGAUGGUGGAGACGUGCCGUAUGUAAGUGUCAAUUUCUUAACAUUUAAUUUGAUGUUGAAUAAAACCUAAGACUGGAUAGAGGUGUCAACAACAAAAUAUAUAACAUUCUUUUUCCACAGCUGACCAUCUACUCCAAAAUGUACAAGUGACUCCAGAAUAUGAAGUCACCAAGAAAGAGGCAGGGCCGUGUGCCAAAACGAGGGGUUGCAAAGAGGUCUCUCUUUAGUACAAGUAUAGAAGAUGAGACAGAUUAAGAUUCAAGUGGUUCAACAGCUUCAACCGUAAUUCUUCCAAGCAACGAUGACCUUAGUGAUGCAAACCUUAGUCCAGCAGGUCAUGAAGGUCUGAAACACCAGGCAAGGUACUACAAAACACUGAGCAACAUGUACAAUAAACCCAACUCAACUCAAAACCGAACCAAAGCAACGUUGUUCAACUUUUGGACCUCGAGUUUGAAGCCAGACGGGCCUUCAUUGAUUCAGAUGAGGCAAUGGACAAGCUGCAUUGUAUCCUUGAUGGUACCAACUCUAAAUACAUAGAUGAAACAAAGGGAAGAUGGGCAGACUUCUGUGAAAAGGUGCAGUUCUAUGGUGUAUGGAAGAAGGCCCUCAAACUCCUUUUCCCCUUGAGCCUGCAGGGAGAUAGUGGAUUUCACCAUUGACCUUCUAACAGUACUCCCGGUACUUUUUCCCUCACCAACUCCACCACCAAAGCGAAUUGGGAGUGCCAGUGAAGCACUGCUUCACAUAAUUCAGCCAAUGGAAGAUCCAGCGCUGAACUAGGAGAAGCGACCUCUAUUCAACCAAGUGUUACUCUUUGAUGGAACAGCUUGCAUUCUUGCCAAGGGGAAAUACUCCUGUAAGCACCCUACCAAAGGAGGAUUUCUUUCAUGGAAUGUUAAUGGCGUACUACCACUCUUUGCACUUGACAUAUCCAAAAUGUGUUGCAACCUUGCUGUCAGUCAUUCAAACAGAGGUACUAGGCGAUGCCAUACAUGAUCAAAAUGCCACAAGCUUGUAUUAGAAAGCAAUCACUGAGUGGAAAUCAUUGAUUAAGAAAUAGAAAUGCAUAGAACAUCAGGUCUGUUAUUAGCGUUCUAGAGUACUGUAUCUGUACCUGAUAAAGUUUUUCUUUCGUUUCCUCUGUUGAGGGUUUUUCAUGUCCUGUUUUUUCAUUUCAUAGUUGUUGUAUGUUAUAUAGCGUUUUUUGUUCUAGUGCAUGGACUGGUCGCAGUGCUCUAUUUGUCUCUCACUUUCUCAGUCACCCUGUUUUUUUCUCUCUCUCUCUCACUUAUUCUCUGCCUAGCCUAAAAAGUGCACGUUGAAUUUUGUUGUUUGUGUUAAUGCCUUUUCUGUGGAAAAAUAUAUUGCAGUGGGUUAUGGAAUGACCAUUAUUUUAUAAUAUUUAUAUUUUUUCCGUAGGACACUUAUUGAUGUGAAGGCUCUGUGGUGUCUUCUGUGGUUGGUAAUAAAUGUUGAUGGAAAUCUGACUUUUCAUGGUUGUGAUUUCCUGUUUUAAGAUGUUCUUGAAAAAAAGUCGGUCUAAAUAUUGGUUUAGGUUUACUUAUUUCAAGGUGUAUUUCAUGUAACAGCAUAAUCAUACUCCUCUAGCAGUAAGUAGUUUCCACUUAUUUUAAUGAUCAAUUUUCUUAUUCCUUGGACUUCAUUUUUCCAGUGUGCUUAAAUUAAGAAUUUUAAGAAUAAGAGUUUUAAGAAUUAUUUGCUAAUAUUCAGUGCAUUUUGCUUUUUACUGUGAUAUGACAAGUCUCAUUUUAAGUAAUUUGAUCUGAAUUUUUUUUUUUUUUAUACUGUUGCACAAUUGUCCAACCUUUCAUAUUUCUAGACUUGCAGGGUAACAUUUCACUAUGUGUUUGUAUGUGUACAACUGUCUAUGUGAUGAAUAAACCUUUUGAAACUUGAAA